UAGGGGAACCUGUCUCUAGUAAUUUUUU
rnacentral:rRNA from 2 species